rnacentral:misc_RNA from 1 species
GAAUGAAGAACGUAGCGAAAUGCGAUAAGUAAUGUGAAUUGCAGAAUUCAGUGAAUCAUCGAAUCUUUGAACGCACAUUGCGCCCAUUAGCAUUCUAGUGGGCAUGCCUGUUCGAGCGUCAUUUCAACCCUUAAGCCCUGUUGCUUAGCGUUGGGAGCCUACAGUACUGUAGCUCCCCAAAGUUAGUGGCGGAGUCGGUUUCACACUCUAGACGUAGUAAUUUUUUCUCGUCUGUAGUUGAGCCGGUCCCCUGCCGUAAAACACCCAAUUUAUCAAGGUUGACCUCGGAUCAGGUAGGAAUACCCGCUGAACUUAAGCAUAUCAAUAAGCGGAGGA